UCUUCUGAGCCACUAGAGUAUUAUGGCAAUUGUCUCAAAAAUCAGUGACUUGAAAUCCUCUUUCGGAUUGUUUGUUCAGGGCUUAGCGCCGGCUUUCCAGGGUACUCCUUUCCUGGUGCUAUAUUUGGCCGUCGUUGUUGCCCAAUAAAAGCUCAUCCCACUUUACACUACAUAUGGUUUUUAAAAUCGUGUUUUGCAUUUUAGAGCUGUGACUUUUUGUGUGAAACGUUUCUAGCAGCAUCUUUGUCAUUGUGGUGAGCUUCGGCGUUGUCACUGAGAUUCCUCUGAGAGACCAUCAGUCUUCUCUGGAUUAUCAGGUUUGCAGGACCAACCUAGAGCUCUGGCUGUGGAUCCUGGAUGUGAAAUCAGGUACACGGUUGUUUCCGAUUCCAGGGAUUUCCCUUUUCACCCAGGUUGGCUGCCUCUCCAAACACCAGUGAGUGCUGCAUGUUCUGACAUACCCUGAAGUCAUGCAUUAGCACCUUCUCACACAGCAAAGGGUCUCUGAGUCAUCAAGUUUCCAGAUCCUGGCCAUCUAGACAGUGUCAGGCAUGGGCAUCCUCUUGUGUGGAACUCAGGUUAAACCAGUCUUUGGUUGGGCACUCUCUUGAGCUCUGAUCCACCACUGUCCCAGUUUGAGCUGGCAGCCAGCAGUUGAAAUUGACAUGUGAGAGUUCUAAGUCCCAGAUGCUAGCUGCCAACUGCCUUUUUGUUCGUGUUUCCUUGGAAACCGAGGUUGGAGGGGAGAGACCAUUCCAGUGCCAUGGACAGAGUAGUCAAGAUUGAAGAUCUAUCUAAUAACUUCUAGCUCUCAUCUGUAACAGUGUUGGUAACACCACAGUUUUAAUAAUAAGCCUUUCUAUAUCAUGAUUCAUCCACUUAGAUCAAAUCAUUUCAUUCAGCUUUAUAAAGACAGCAAAUUACCUCAAACACGUCUAACUUCUCCUCCACAUGUCAUGUGAGUUUUGUUAGUUAUGAUCGUUUCCUGUUAAUUAUGUUUAUAUUAUUUUAAAUGUGCUUUAACUAUUUAAACCAUAUUUCAGGAUGUUCAAAUAAACUUUAAAAUAUUUUACAUAGCAAUUUUGCUUAUAUUUGACCUAAAUAUUGUUCUAGAAGAUUGUCUUGUCAGGUCAAAUAUCUCCCCAAUGCAACAUACAUGCUCAAAUAAUAUAACAUUACAAGAUGCUUACAUUUUGCAUUUGAAGCUGAGACAAGACAAUACACUUACAUUUUUUUUGUUGUUUAUAUUUGAGAUUGUAUUUUAAUUAUAACAUUUCUUCCUUCUCUUUCCUCCUUGUAAACUCUUCGUUAUAUGCCUCCAUACACAUGGCCUGUUUUUAUACCAAUUUUUAGUGCAUGUCAGUAUGUAUUUGUAUAUACAUGUAUAUUCCUAAAUAUAAUGUGUUAAAUCAAUAUAAUGUUACCUGUAUGUAUUUUUCAGGGCUGACUGCUUUGUACUGGACAAUCAGUCAGUGUGCUGUUCCCUGGGAACCCCGCCCCCCUCUCUUCCAGCUGUACUCAGUUGCCUGUAGCUCUGUGGUGUACUACUUUUGGUAUAGUAAUUAAAAUUACUUCUUAAAUAGA